GAUGAAUGCUGGCGGCGUGCCUAAUACAUGCAAGUCGAGCGGCAGCGCGUCUAGUUUACUAGAUGGCGGCGAGCGGCGGACGGCUGAGUAACGCGUAGGAAUGUGCCCCAAAGUGAGGAAUAACUGCCCGAAAGGGUAGCUAAUGCCGCAUAUGGUCUUCGGAUUAAAGGAUUUAUCCGCUUUGGGAGCAGCCUGCGUACGAUUAGAUAGUUGGUGAGGUAAUGGCUCACCAAGUCGACGAUCGUUAGCUGGUCUGAGAGGAUGAUCAGCCAGACUGGAACUGAGACACGGUCCAGACUCCUACGGGAGGCAGCAGUAAGGAAUCUUCCACAAUGGGCGAAAGCCUGAUGGAGCAACGCCGCGUGCAGGAUGAAGGCCUCGGGUUGUAAACUGCUUUAUGAGUGAAGAAUAUGACGGUAACUCAUGAAUAAGCACCGGCUAACUACGUGCCAGCAGCCGCGGUAAU
rnacentral:rRNA from 1 species